CACGUAGGCACCAAGCGUUGUCCGGAUUUAUUGGGCGUAAAGAGCUCGUAGGCGGUUCAGUAAGUCGGGUGUGAAAACUUUGGGCUCAACCCAAAGCGUGCACUCGAUACUGCCAUGACUAGAGUUCGGUAGGGGAGUGGGGAAUUCCUAGUGUAGCGGUGAAAUGCGCAGAUAUUAGGAGGAACACCGGUGGCGAAGGCGCCACUCUGGGCCGAAACUGACGCUGAGGAGCGAAAGCGUGGGUAGCAAACAGG
rnacentral:rRNA from 1 species